GAUAAACGCGGGCGGGCGUGGCUUAACACAUGCAAGUCGAACGAAGAGGCUCCCUUCGGGGAGCACUUCAGUGGCGUACUGGUGAGUAACACGUAAGGUGACCUGCCCCGAAGCAGGGAAUAACGGCUCGAAAGGGCCGCUAAUACCCAAAAGGAACGCGGAUCGAACCGCGCUCAGAGCUACGGCGUUUCGGGAGGGGCCUGCGGCCCAUCAGCUAGUUGGUAGGGUAAUGGCCUACCAAGGCGACGACGGGUAGGGGGCCUGAGAGGGUGGUCCCCCACACUGGCACUGACACACGGGCCAGACUCCUACGGGAGGCAGCAGUGAGGAAUAUUGCACAAUGGGCGAAAGCCUGAUGCAGCAACGCCGCGUGGGUGAUGAAGGCCUUCGGGUCGUAAAACCCUUUUCUGGGGGAAGAGAGAGGACGGUACCCCAGGAAUAAGGUUCGUGCUAACUACGUGCCA
rnacentral:rRNA from 1 species